AUUGUUUCUGUCUUAUUGUGGUACAAAUCGAAUACUUUAGUGGGGUUUUUCAAACUUGGGCUUCUUCACAGUUCUACUUUCAUUUUUGGAUAAAGAGCUGCAUACUUAAUUGCAUCGACUCAAGGAAGCUUAAGAUGGGGGAGCUUU